rnacentral:lncRNA from 1 species
CCAGGGAUCCAAUUUCUUUCUUCUAGGAUCCACAUCUUAAAGGUUUCAUCACCUCUCAUAGCAUCAUGGGCUGGAGGCAAAGAAUUCAACACAAGAGCAUUUGGAGAGCUUUCAAGAUUCAAACUAUAGUAUGGCUAGCAGCUGGUGGGAAAGAUGGGCUCCAAAGAUAAAAGUGCUUUGGAUCAUUGGAAGAAUGAAUCUUUCUUGGAACCAAGGUUUUACAUACCUGUUGAAUCACCUACAAUUAGGAAAGUGAAUAUAUUUAUGACUCAUUUGUGGUGUCUUAUACACCCUUUCUGCCUUUCUUUCCCCACCCAAUCCUUGUUCAAAAGCAACCACUCACCU